GGCGCGAGGAUUUUGUGGUCCAAAGCCAAGCAAUGGUUUCCUUCAAUCUCCGAGAGGGGAGGUGCAUCGGAUUUGUUGGAGAUUUUAGUCUUAUGAUUAAAUGUGGCAAAUUGGAUCUGGAUGACCUCAACUCUGAAUGCCUGGGGAACAUUAUUCGUUUGAUUGUGGAUCCCCUUUACAGGAGGUUUGAAGUUGACGUUAUUGUCGGACCUGAGCCCUAGGACCAUGCCUCAGGACUACCUGGUAUG